rnacentral:misc_RNA from 1 species
GAAAUGCGAUAAGUAAUGUGAAUUGCAGAAUUCAGUGAAUCAUCGAAUCUUUGAACGCACAUUGCGCCCGCCAAUAUUCUGGCGGGCAUGCCUGUCCGAGCGUCAUUUCAACCAUCAAGCCCCCGGGCUUGUGUUGGGGACCUGCGGCUGCCCGCAGGCCCUGAAAACCAGUGGCGGGCUCGCUGUCACACCGAGUGUAGUAGCAAUCACCUCGCUCAGGGCGUGCUGCGGGUUCCGGCCGUUAAACAGCCUUACAAAACCCAAGGUUGACCUCGGAUCAGGUAGGAAGACCCGCUGAACUUAAGC